rnacentral:rRNA from 1 species
CCACUGCUAUCGGGGUCCGACUAAGCCAUGCGAGUCACGGGGGUGUCCCUUUGGCACCACCGGCGGACGGCUCGUAACACGUCGGUAACCUACCCUCGGGAGGGGGAUAACCCCGGGAAACUGGGGCUAAUUCCCCAUAGGUCCUGAGGUACUGGAAGUCCCCAGGCCGAAAGGGACUUAUGUCGCCCGAGGAUGGGCCGCGGCCGAUUAGGUUGUUGUGGGGUAACGGCCCACAAGCCAGUAAUCGAUACGGGUUGUGGGAGCAAGAGCCCGGAGUGGAUUCUGAGCACGAAUCCAGGCCCUACGGGGCGCAGCAGGCGCGAUG